rnacentral:rRNA from 1 species
UCGAUUAGAGUUUGAUCCUGGCUCAGGACGAACGCUGGCGGCGUGCUUAACACAUGCAAGUCGAACGAUGAUCUCUGGUCUUCGGGCCGGGGUGAUUAGUGGCGAACGGGUGAGUAACACGUGAGUAACCUGCCCUGGAUUUCGGGAUAACUGUUGGAAACGGCGGCUAAUACCGGGUGUGCACUUCUUGUCGCAUGGCGGGGGGUGGAUAGGUUUUUUCUGGUCUGGGAUGGGCUCGCGGCCUAUCAGUUUGUUGGUGGGGUGAUGGCCUACCAAGGCGUUGACGGGUAGCCGGCCUGAGAGGGCGACCGGCCACACUGGGACUGAGAUACGGCCCAGACUCUUACGGGAGGCAGCAGUGGGGGAUAUUGCACAAUGGGCGAAAGCCUGAUGCAGCGACGCCGCGUGGGGGAUGGAGGCCUUCGGGUUGUGAACCCCUUUCGUCGGGGAAGAAGCGAGAGUGACGGUACCCGGGGAAGAAGCGCCGGCUAACUACGUGCCAGCAGCCGCGGUGAUACGUAGGGCGCGAGCGUUGUCCGGAAUUAUUGGGCGUAAAGGGCUCGUAGGCGGCUGGUCGCGUCUGCUGUGAAAUUCCUUGGCUUAACCAGGGGCUUGCAGUGGGUACGGGCUGGCUGGAGUGCGGUAGGGGAGACUGGAAUUCCUGGUGUAGCGGUGGAAUGCGCAGAUAUCAUGAGGAACACCGAUGGCGAAGCAGGUCUCUGGGCCGUCACUGACGCUGAGGAGCGAAAGCGUGGGGAGCGAACAGGAUUAGAUACCCUGGUAGUCCAUGCUGUAAACGUUGGGCACUAGAUGUGGGGGCUGUUUUGGCU